CAUAGGGGUGCUACAAAGCGUUGUGGCUGAGAACAUACCCUAAAAACUUGAUCGGGAUAAUGCCCGCGUAAGGAACGAAUUA
rnacentral:ncRNA from 1 species